rnacentral:rRNA from 1 species
UGUGUAGGUGGCCUGUUAAGUUCCGUGUGAAAUCUCCCGGCUCAACCGGGAGGGUGCGCGGAAAACUGGCGGGCUAGAGUACGGGAUGGGAGAGUAGAAUUCCUGGUGUAGCGGUGAAAUGCGUAGAUAUCAGGAGGAAUACCGGUGGUGUAGACGGCUCUCUGGACCGUAACUGACACUGAGACACGAAAGCGUGGGUAGCAAACAGGAUUAGAUACCCUGGUAGUCCACGCCCUAAACGAUGCAUAUUUGGUGUAGGUCAUUCAGUUGAUCUGUGCCGGAGCUAACGCGUUAAAUAUGCCGCCUGGGGAGUACAGUCGCAAGGCUGA